rnacentral:rRNA from 1 species
UACGAAGGGGGCUAGCGUUGCUCGGAAUCACUGGGCGUAAAGGGCGCGUAGGCGGCGUUUUAAGUCGGGGGUGAAAGCCUGUGGCUCAACCACAGAAUGGCCUUCGAUACUGGGACGCUUGAGUAUGGUAGAGGUUGGUGGAACUGCGAGUGUAGAGGUGAAAUUCGUAGAUAUUCGCAAGAACACCGGUGGCGAAGGCGGCCAACUGGACAUGUAUUGACGCUGAGGUGCGAAAGCGUGGGGAGCAAACAGG